CCCGCGCGUGAUCGCGGCCCGGGGCGCUUCCCGAGCUGGCCCCGGGAGGUCUCCCCGGUGCGCUCGCACACCUCUCCGACCAGAGUCGCCUGCCCCCAUCCCCCCCUUCUUUUGACUUCUGCAGGGCAUCAGUGCCUACCUGUCCCUUAGGGGUGCCGAGUGGGACGGUUGCCAAAGUUGCCAGCAGGAAGAGAAAGGCAGUCCUGGGCAUUUGAGCAUGCCCGGCGCCUGCAGCCAAGCAGGGUUUUGCAAAACGUGUGGGCUCUUGUGAAGGACCGUGGGAAACAGCGAAAUGAGCACCGGGCCCAGGAGAAACCCGAGCUUUCCCUUUGAUCUGUGCUCACCUUCCUUUUCAUGAGGGGAUGCAUUUUGAAGGAUUUCCUCCCAACCCGAGAAAACGUCUGACAGAGAACGAAAGAAUUUAUUUUUUAAAAAGAAAAGAGCAAUAGACACACGAACGAGGCUCUGUGGCAAUGGAUCGCCUUGAGGGCGCGGGUGAAUUCCUAGCCAGGCUGUGUUUGCCACCCUGUGAUGGCUCCCGUGCCAGUGGGCAUGUCAUCACUUUCUGCAUGGUGGAUACAGACGUGGAAAUAAAGGGCUUUGCAUGGGGACACUGACUCUCGGAGAGCAGCGGGGCACUGACCUUAGUUUCUUGGCUUCUCAUGUAAGUGAAUUCUCCCUAACAAAAUAGCAUGUGACAUCUCUAUCUUGUGUAGGUUAAGCUUCCUCAAAAUCUGGUGUCAGAACCAGAUGUUGUCUAGCCCGAGUCGCUGAGUCCCUGCUCCCCAUCUCAGCACUUAAAUGAUCUAAUGAUUUGUUCUUGGGCCUACACUAUAUUCUACACUGAUGCAAAGAAAUCAGGUAAACUAGGAUAUAAAUCAGGAAAUGUAAGUAAAGUAGUUCAAAGCCCUUACAACUCUGUACAAAGGCAGAGUUGUACGCCAUUCUCAUGGUACUCAUGGUACUUAUAGAGCCUCUCAAUAUAGUUACUGACUCUCAAUAUGCAGAAAGAGUUUUACACAUUGAGACCACUGAACUUAUUCCUGGUGUCACAGAAUUAACCUCAUUAUUUAUACAAUUACAGGAAACUGUAAGGAAUAGAACUCAUCCUAUAUAUGAUCCCAUACAGAUCCUCUAGCUCAAGGUAAUGAUGAGACUAAUUGUUUAUUAAUAGGACGUGUGCUAGAAGCUUCAGAGUUUGAUAAAAAAAAUAACCACCAUGUUAAUAGCAAGGGUUUGCAAAAGAAUUUUUCUAUCACUUGACAACAAGCCAAGGAAAU